AUAAUGAUACUCCUGCUCAGCCACAGCCCUGUCAUCCAGGAUCACGCAAUGGGAGCAGCUGCAAGAGAACCUUGCAGGAGUGAAAUUCUCGUGA
rnacentral:ncRNA from 1 species